rnacentral:lncRNA from 1 species
CGAUUGCAGAAAAUGAGAAGAUUUAGGGUUUUUUUUGGACCAGUGGAAUACUUUCAGGUUUCGUCUCAACUCCUUUUAUUUUAUUUUCUUUCUUUUCCUUUCCUUCUGCCAUCCGCUUCCUCUCCCCACCUCUUCUUUCUUAUUUGGAUUCUCUAGGCGAUAUGCUACUGUGGCGAUUCAGUCGGUGGCGGGUCAGCCUCAAUUUCAUAACAUUUUAAGGGAUUGCUGUUGGUGUUCAUCGACGGUCGUGGUGGGUCAGAGGUGCCAUGGUGAUGUGAAGAAAUAGAGAAAAAGGAAUAUAGUCAUCACUUCCUGAUACCGACGACGAUCCGUUUUCUGCAUUAGCCAGAUUGAAUGACUUCAAAGGAGGUUCGUAUUUGCUGUAGCAUCAUCUCAUUAUAUUGAUUGUUGGAAAUGAUAAUUUAUUUUGUUGACAUUUUAGUAUUUAUAGGGUUAAAAAUAUAACUUCUGUUGCAGUGUUGAUAUAUAUAUAUAUAUAUAUGCAUCAUUGUUCGAACGCUCAACAUCAAAUAAUAUUACAGUAUCUGAAUACAAUUCUCUAAAUAAGCCACCAAUGGGUCCAACUCAUUUGAAGCACACUCAUAGUAAUUCACUGUUUUUUAUUUAGAGAUUUAAAUAACAUGGGUGAGCUUUUCUUUUGUAUGUUUUUUUAUCCCAAUCAAUGAAUGGAUUUUUNGUCUCAACUCCUUUUAUUUUAUUUUCUUUCUUUUCCUUUCCUUCUGCCAUCCGCUUCCUCUCCCCACCUCUUCUUUCUUAUUUGGAUUCUCUAGGCGAUAUGCUACUGUGGCGAUUCAGUCGGUGGCGGGUCAGCCUCAAUUUCAUAACAUUUUAAGGGAUUGCUGUUGGUGUUCAUCGACGGUCGUGGUGGGUCGGAGGUGCCAUGGUGAUGUGAAGAAAUAGAGAAAAAGGAAUAUAGUCAUCACUUCCUGAUACCGACGACGAUCCGUUUUCUGCAUUAGCCAGAUUGAAUGACUUCAAAGGAGGUUCGUAUUUGCUGUAGCAUCAUCUCAUUAUAUUGAUUGUUGGAAAUGAUAAUUUAUUUUGUUGACAUUUUAGUAUUUAUAGGGUUAAAAAUAUAACUACUGUUGCAGUGUUGAUAUAUAUAUAUAUAUAUAUGCAUCAUUGUUCGAACGCUCAACAUCAAAUAAUAUUACAGUAUCUGAAUACAAUUCUCUAAAUAAGCCACCAAUGGGUCCAACUCAUUUGAAGCACACUCAUAGUAAUUCACUGUUUUUUAUUUAGAGAUUUAAAUAACAUGGGUGAGCUUUUCUUUUGUAUGUUUUUUUAUCCCAAUCAAUGAAUGGAUUUUUCCCCUGUAUACGUUGGGCAUCUUUCUUUUCUUUAUGUAUGACAAAGUGAUCAAGCAUAAAAUCAGGGUGCAACUGGCAACCAACAUGAACCAAAUAGCAGCAACAACAAAUAAGAGAUUUAAGAAAACAAGUAAUAAUUAUUAAUCAGGAGGGUAGGCUAGAGGAACCGUUUGAAACAAUAUAAUAAAAAAAUUUCCAGAAGAGUCACAGCUUUGGGAUACUUGAAGUCUUCUUAUAAAAGAUAAUAAUAGUAGUUUUGAUUUCCCUGGUCAUCAACUUGAAGUCCAUUUUCUACCCACUUCAAUCUUUUUUAAUGUGUGAUUAUGUUUUGUUUUUAAUUUCUUGAAUGUGAUUUAUUGUAAAAGAUUUUUUUUAAUUGUGUAAUUUUGUUGCAGUUUUAUACACAACAGUACCAAGGCCAUCGGCUACUUUUGACAUGUUCCCUUCUUGGCCUAUGAGAGUUCAUCAAACCCCAAGAGUAAGUCUUUUUUCCCUUAUAAUAAUACCCGCUUCCCUGUUUGAAUACGAUUGGAAAGAAAUACUCUAUUUAUAGUAAAAUGGUUCCAUGUACAGGUAGGUACUUGCUGAUAUGGUUCUUUUUGCUCAACCUCCAAAUCUGGUCUCAUGUAAGCAGUAGGAAAUAAUCGUGAAGAAAAUUUGAUUUUAACAGUUUUGGACCAAACUGCCCCUCCAUACUAUUUUUAUAGUUAAAAAAUUUGAUUUUAACAGUUUUGGGCCAAAAUGCCCCUGCA